rnacentral:lncRNA from 1 species
UGGAGGUUGUUGAUUGCAAUUUCAAAUAAGGUGAUCUGAGAAAAGAGAGGACAGACCUCAAUGACUGACUCCUUUUGAAUUCACUUAUCUUAUAAUAGUGGAUUCAUGACUCAUUAUUAUUCUUACAAAAAAAGAAGUUCCAGGAAGAACAAACAAAUCAUUCUGACUUCCGCAGGGUUGUUUUUCAUCUGGAGUCAUUAACGGCAUCUUAGAAAGAAGAUGUGAAAUCUGUUCGCAACUUCUCCAGAUUGGGCAGAAAACACAGAUCAAGUGGUUAAGGGGUGGGGGGUGGGGGGAUCUUUUUUGA